rfam:Bacillus sp. FJAT-27997 Scaffold1, whole genome shotgun sequence.
AAAAUGAUUUGGUAGAAUAAUUUAAAUUUUCAAUUAUCGUUAACCUUUCUCAAUUAAAAAGGGAGAAGGGGACAGAUACCUUUAAGCGUAGACAGUGAGAUAAUGGGCCAGAAGCUUAGGUUGAAGGGAUUGAACUUCGAAAGACUCGGAUGAGGGGGUUAAUGUUUUGGACAAUGCAGAAAGCGACAUUUCUGUAUCAUUUUGGCGAGAUACUAGAAACCUUUCCAAAGUCGGUGACCA